rnacentral:rRNA from 1 species
GACGAACGCUGGCGGCGUGCUUAACACAUGCAAGUCGAGCGGUAAGGCCCUUUCGGGGGUACGACGAGCGGCGAACGGGUGAGUAACACGUGGGUGACCUGCCCUCAGCUCUGGGAUAAGCCUGGGAAACUGGGUCUAAUACCGGAUAUGACUCCAUGACGCAUGUUGUGGGGUGGAAAGCCUUGUGCGGCUGAGGAUGGGCCCGCGGCCUAUCAGCUUGUUGGUGGGGGUGANGGCCUACCAAGGCGACGACGGGUAGCCGGCCUGAGAGGGCGACCGGGCCACACUGGGACUGAGACACGGCCCCAGACUCCUACGGGAGGCGAGCAGUGGGGAAUCUUGCGCAAUGGGCGAAAGCCUGACGCAGCGACGCCGCGUGAGGGAUGGACGGCC